GCGCAGCAGGCGAGAAACCUUCGCAAUGCAGGAAACUGCGACGAGGGAACUCCAAGUGCCUACGCUCAGCGUAGGCUGUUCUCAAGCCUAGAAAGCUUGAGGAGUAAGGGCUGGGUAAGACGGGUGCCAUCUGUGGUAGCAGUCAAUAGAUUCGAUUUGUUACUGCAAGGCAUAAGCCGCCGCGGUAAUACCCGGCAGCCCAAGUGGUGGCCGCUUUUAUUGGGCCUAAAGCGUCCGUAGCCGGCCCGGUAAAUGCCUGGGUAAAUCGUAGGAGCCCCAACGUUCACGAAUUCCGGGUAGACUGCCCGAGCUCGGGACCGGAAGAGGGAGAGGGUACUUCAGGGGUAGGGUGAAAAGUUUCCUUCCAUUAACGCUUUGCGCGAAG
rnacentral:rRNA from 1 species